CCUGGGGAUGGGAGGACCAGCA
rnacentral:miRNA from 1 species